rnacentral:misc_RNA from 1 species
UCCGGUUCAUCACCGGCAGUCCCCUUAGAGUCCCCAACUAAAUGCUGGCAACUAAGGGCAAGGGUUGCGCUCGUUACGGGACUUAACCCAACAUCUCACAACACGAGCUGACGACAGCCAUGCAGCACCUGUCUCUGCGCUCCUUUCGGCACUCCCAACUCUCAUCGGGAUUCGCAGGAUGUCAAGGGUAGGUAAGGUUCUUCGCGUUGCAUCGAAUUAAACCACAUGCUCCACCGCUUGUGCGGGCCCCCGUCAAUUCAUUUGAGUUUCAACCUUGCGGCCGUACUUCCCAGGCGGAAGACUUAUCGCGUUAGCUACGAUACUGAUCAGUUCCCCGACCAACAUCUAGUCCUCAUCGUUUACAGCGUGGACUAC